rnacentral:rRNA from 1 species
UGCGCAGGCGGGCUUGUAAGUCAGUGGUGAAAUACUGCCGCUCAACGGUAGAACUGCCAUUGAUACUGCAAGUCUUGAAUAUGGUUGAGGUAGGCGGAAUGUGUCGUGUAGCGGUGAAAUGCAUAGAUAUGACACAGAACGCCAAUUGCGAAGGCAGCUUACUACGCCAUUACUGACGCUGAGGCACGAAAGCGUGGGGAGCGAACAGGAUUAGAUACCCUGGUAGUCC